GUCCACGCUGUAAACGAUGGGCACUAGGUGUCGCGGGUAUUGACCCCUGCGGUGCCGCAGCUAACGCAUUAAGUGCCCCGCCUGGGGACUACGGCCGCAAGGCUAAACUCAAAGGAAUUGACGGGGCCCGCACAAGCGGUGGAGCAUGUGGUUCAAUUCGACGCAACGCGAAGAACCUUACCCGGGCUAGACAACAGAGGACAGCCCUAGAAAUAGGGUUUUCCCUUCGGGGACCUCUGGUUCAGGUGCUGCAUGGCUGUCGU
rnacentral:rRNA from 1 species